AGUAAUCAAACGAGAUUUUCUUAGUAGCGGCGAGCGAACGGGAAAGAGGCCAAACCGGAGCGGGCAACCGCACCGGGGUUGAGGACAGUCAUCAAGUGUAAAUGAGGUAGAAGAAUCGAGCUGGAAAGCUCAGCCGCAGAAGGUGAAAGCCCUGUAAUCGAAACCUUGCAUACAUGGGACUGUAUCCAGAGUACCACGAGACACGUGAAACCUUGUGGGAAGCAGGGGGGACCACCCUCCAAGCCAAAAUACUGAUAUCGACCGAUAGCGCAUAGUACCGUGAGGGAAAGGUGAAAAGAACCCCUGGCGGGGAGUGAAAGAGAACCUGAAACCGUAUGUCUACAAACAGUCGAAGUCUGUAUAUAUAUCAGGACGACGGCGUGCCUAUUGAAGAAUGAACCGACGAGUUACUGUUGCUAGCGAGGUUAAGUGGAAAACAUGGAGCCGCAGCGAAAGCGAGUCUGAACAGGGCGUUCAGUUAGUAAUAGUAGACCCGAAACCGUAGUGAUCUAUCCAUGGCCAGGUUGAAGCACAGGUAAAAUUGUGUGGAGGACCGAACUCGUGAGCGUUGAAAAGCUUUGGGAUGAGUUGUGGAUAGGGGUGAAAUGCCAAUCGAACACGGAGAUAGCUGGUUCUCCCCGAAAUAGCUUUAGGGCUAGCCUCGAGGUAGAGAGUAUAGGCGGUAGAGCACUGAUCGGGCUAGGGGCCAUACCGGUUACCGAACCUAGUCAAACUACGAAUGGCUAUACUUAUACUCGGGAGUCAGACAGUGAAUGAUAAGGUCCAUUGUCAAGAGGGAAACAGCCCAGAACACCGACUAAGGUCCCCAAUGUUACACUAAGUGGCGAAGGAUGUGGAAUUUCCAAAACAACCAGGAUGUUGGCUUAGAAGCAGCCACCAUUUAAAGAGUGCGUAAUAGCUCACUGGUCGAGAGACUCUGCGCCGAAAAUGUCCGGGGCUAAAGUGUAAAACCGAAGUCGUGUCAUAUGCAGCAAUGUAUAUGGGUAGGGGAGCGUUCUCAUCGGGCUGAAGCAGUACCGUAAGGAGUUGUGGACUGAUGAGAAGUGAGAAUGUCGGUAUGAGUAGCGAAAAGAAUGGUGAGAAUCCAUUCCACCGAAAGCCUAAGGGUUCCUGAGCAACGAUCGUCGUCUCAGGGUAAGUCGGGACCUAAGCCGAGGCGGAAAAGCGUAGGCGAUGGACAACAGGUUGAAAUUCCUGUACCGGUGUGAAUCGUUUGAUCGAUGGAGUGACACAGUAAGGUAGGUCAGCACGCGAUUGGAAGAGCGUGUUUAAGCAGGUAGGUUGAGCUAUAGGCAAAUCCGUAGUUCUAAAAGCUGAGAUGUGAUGACGAGCGACUAGCAAUAGUCGCGAAGUGAUUGAUCCUACACUGUCGAGAAAAGCUUCUAGGUAGAGACACAUCGCCCGUACCAAAACCGACACAGGUAGGCGGGGAGAGAAUCCUAAGGUGCGCGGGAAAACCCUCGUUAAGGAACUCGGCAAAAUGCCUCCGUAACUUCGGGAAAAGGAGGACUCAUGUAGUGUGAAGAGCAGAAGCGCUUGGAGCAUGAAUGAGUGGCACAAGAGAGGCGCAAGCGACUGUUUACCACAAACACAGGUGCCUGCUAAAGCGAAAGCUGAUGUAUAGGUGCUGACACCUGCCCGGUGCUGGAAGGUUAAGAGGAGGGGUUAGACUUUGGUCGAAGCUCUGAAUUGAAGCCCCAGUAAACGGCGGCCGUAACUAUAACGGUCCUAAGGUAGCGAAAUUCCUUGUCGGGUAAGUUCCGACCCGCACGAAAGGUGUAACGACUUGCGCACUGUCUCAACGAGGGACCCGGUGAAAUUGAAGUACCUGUGAAGAUGCAGGUUACCCGCGACUGGACAGAAAGACCCCAUGGAGCUUUACUGCAACCUAAGAUUGAACUUAGUUAAUGAAUGUACAGGAUAGGUGGGAGAC
rnacentral:rRNA from 1 species